CAAUGGCAUAAGCCCGCUUAACUGCGAGAAUGACGGUUCGAGCAGGUGCGAAAGCAGGUCAUAGUGAUCCGGUGGUUCUGUAUGGAAGGGCCAUCGCUCAACGGAUAAAAGGUACUCCGGGGAUAACAGGCUGAUACCGCCCAAGAGUUCAUAUCGACGGCGGUGUUUGGCACCUCGAUGUCGGCUCAUCACAUCCUGGGGCUGAAGUCGGUCCCAAGGGUAUGGCUGUUCGCCAUUUAAAGUGGUACGCGAGCUGGGUUUAGAACGUCGUGAGACAGUUCGGUCCCUAUCUGCCGUGGGCGUUGGAAGAUUGAAGGGGGCUGCUCCUAGUACGAGAGGACCGGAGUGGACGAACCUCUGGUGUUCGGGUUGUGUCGCCAGACGCAUUGCCCGGUAGCUAAGUUCGGAAUUGAUAAGCGCUGAAAGCAUCUAAGCGCGAAGCGAGCCCUGAGAUGAGUCUUCCCUGAUACUUUAAGUAUCCUAAAGGGUUGUUCGAGACUAGAACGUUGAUAGGCAGGGUGUGUAAGCGUUGUGAGGCGUUGAGCUAACCUGUACUAAUUGCCCGUGAGGCUUAACCAU
rnacentral:rRNA from 1 species